rnacentral:rRNA from 1 species
AGCGAACGCGAAGGAGCCUGUUAGUGAUAAUGACAGAGACAGAGGAACAAGCUGGGAAGCUUGGCGAUACAGGGUGAUAGCCCCGUACUCGAAGUCCAGGUCAUGGUACUAAGCUAACGACAAGUAGGGCGGGACACGUGAUAUCCUGUUUGAAGAUGGGGGGACCAUCCUCCAAGGCUAAAUACUCCUGAUUGACCGAUAGUGAACCAGUACUGUGAAGGAAAGGCGAAAAGAACCCCGGUGAGGGGAGUGAAAUAGAACCUGAAACCUUGUACGUACAAGCAGUGGGAGCCCUUUAAGGGUGACUGCGUACCUUUUGUAUAAUGGGUCAGCGACUUAUAUUUUGUAGCGAGGUUAACCGAAUAGGGGAGCCGAAGGGAAACCGAGUCUUAACUGGGCGUCUAGUUGCAAGGUAUAGACCCGAAACCCGGUGAUCUAGCCAUGGGCAGGUUGAAGGUUGGGUAACACUAACUGGAGGACCGAACCGACUAAUGUUGAAAAAUUAGCGGAUGACUUGUGGCUGGGGGUGAAAGGCCAAUCAAACCGGGAGAUAGCUGGUUCUCCCCGAAAUCUAUUUAGGUAGAGCCUUGAGCGGACACCUUCGGGGGUAGAGCACUGUUUCGGCUAGGGGUCCAUCCCGGAUUACCAACCCGAUGCAAACUACGAAUACCGAAGAGUGAUACUCAGGAGACACACGGCGGGUGCUAACGUCCGUCGUGGAGAGGGAAACAACCCAGACCGCCAGCUAAGGUCCCAAAGUCUAUAUUAAGUGGGAAACGAAGUGGGAAGGCUUAGACAGCUAGGAUGUUGGCUUAGAAGCAGCCAUCAUUUAAAGAAAGCGUAAUAGCUCACUAGUCGAGUCGGCCUGCGCGGAAGAUGUAACGGGGCUCAAAUAUAGCACCGAAGCUGCGGCAUCAGACGAAAGUCUGUUGGGUAGGGGAGCGUUCUGUAAGCGGAUGAAGGUGAAUCGAGAGGUUUGCUGGACGUAUCAGAAGUGCGAAUGCUGACAUAAGUAACGAUAAAACGGGUGAAAAACCCGUUCGCCGGAAGACCAAGGGUUCCUGUCCAACGUUAAUCGGGGCAGGGUGAGUCGGCCCCUAAGGCGAGGCUGAAAAGCGUAGUCGAUGGGAAACGGGUUAAUAUUCCCGUACUUGGAUAAACUGCGAUGUGGGGACGGAGCAGGUUAGGUUAUCGCACUGUUGGAUAUGUGCGUUUAAGUUGGUAGGUGAGAAGUUUAGGCAAAUCCGGACUUCUAUAACACCGAGAGAUGAUGACGAGGCUCUACGGAGCUGAAGUAACCGAUACCACACUUCCAGGAAAAGCCACUAAGCUUCAGGUUUAUCUAAACCGUACUGAAAACCGACACAGGUGGUCAGGUAGAGAAUACUCAGGCGCUUGAGAGAACUCGGGUGAAGGAACUAGGCAAAAUAGCACCGUAACUUCGGGAGAAGGUGCGCCGGCGUAGAUUGUAGUCCCUUGCGGGCGAAGGUUGAACCGGUCGAAGAUACCAGCUGGCUGCAACUGUUUAUUAAAAACACAGCACUCUGCAAACACGAAAGUGGACGUAUAGGGUGUGAUGCCUGCCCGGUGCUGGAAGGUUAAUUGAUGGUGUAAUCGAAAGAGAAGCUCCUGAUCGAAGCCCCAGUAAACGGCGGCCGUAACUAUAACGGUCCUAAGGUAGCGAAAUUCCUUGUCGGGUAAGUUCCGACCUGCACGAAUGGCAUAAUGAUGGCCAGGCUGUCUCCACCCGAGACUCAGUGAAAUUGAAAUCGCCGUGAAGAUGCGGUGUACCCGCGGCUAGACGGAAAGACCCCGUGAACCUUUACUAUAGCUUGACACUGAACAUUGAAUUUUGAUGUGUAGGAUAGGUGGGAGACUUAGAAGAUGAUACGCCAGUAUUGUUGGAGUCGUCCUUGAAAUACCACCCUUUAACGUUUGAUGUUCUAACGAAGAUUACGAAACGUGGUCUCGGACAGUGUCUGGUGGGUAGUUUGACUGGGGCGGUCUCCUCCCAAAGAGUAACGGAGGAGCACGAAGGUUUGCUAAUGACGGUCGGACAUCGUCAGGUUAGUGCAAUGGUAUAAGCAAGCUUAACUGCGAGACAGACAAGUCGAGCAGGUACGAAAGUAGGUCAUAGUGAUCCGGUGGUUCUGAAUGGAAGGGCCA